UCAACACGAGAAGAAGAGAACAUGCUUGGAGAUCUUCUCACCAACUUUAUUGAGAGAAAUGAGGUUCAGAUGGAAAGCCAAGAGGUUGCAUUGCAAAGCCUGGAAAAUCAAUUGGGACAACUCGUCAAUGCCAUCACAAAUCUACUGCAAGGCAAUCUACCGAUCAUAAUUGAUAUCGACGAUGAAACAGUAGAGCAUUGCACGGUGGAUAAGCAAGGAG
rnacentral:lncRNA from 1 species